rnacentral:piRNA from 1 species
CACAGAGAUGCUGGUAGUUGGUGUGC